rnacentral:rRNA from 1 species
GACGAACGCUGGCGGCGCUCCUAACACAUGCAAGUCGAACGAGCGAGAGAGAGCUUGCUUUCUCAAGCGAGUGGCGAACGGGUGAGUAACGCGUGAGGAACCUGCCUCAAAGAGGGGGACAACAGUUGGAAACGACUGCUAAUACCGCAUAAGCCCACGACCCGGCAUCGGGUUGAGGGAAAAGGAGCAAUCCGCUUUGAGAUGGCCUCGCGUCCGAUUAGCUGGUUGGUGAGGUAACGGCCCACCAAGGCAACGAUCGGUAGCCGGACUGAGAGGUUGAACGGCCACAUUGGGACUGAGACACGGCCCAGACUCCUACGGGAGGCAGCAGUGGGGAAUAUUGCACAAUGGGGGAAACCCUGAUGCAGCGACGCCGCGUGGAGGAAGAAGGUCUUCGGAUUGUAAACUCCUGUUGUUGAGGAAGAUGAUGACGGUACUCAACAAGGAAGUGACGGCUAACUACGUGCCAGCAGCCGCGGUAAAACGUAGGUCACAAGCGUUGUCCGGAAUUACUGGGUGUAAAGGGAGCGCAGGCGGGAAGACAAGUUGGAAGUGAAAUCUAUGGGCUCAACCCAUAAACUGCUUUCAAAACUGUUUUUCUUGAGUAGUGCAGAGGUAGGCGGAAUUCCCGGUGUAGCGGUGGAAUGCGUAGAUAUCGGGAGGAACACCAGUGGCGAAGGCGGCCUACUGGGCACCAACUGACGCUGAGGCUCGAAAGUGUGGGUAGCANACAGG